rnacentral:rRNA from 1 species
AUUGAACGCUGGCGGCAGGCUUAACACAUGCAAGUCGAGCGGGGUGAUGGUGCUUGCGCUAUCACUUAGCGGCGGGCGGGUGAGUAAUGCUUAGGAAUCUGCCUAUUAGUGGGGGACAACAUCUCGAAAGGGAUGCUAACACCGCAUACGUCCUACGGGAGAAAGCAGGGGAUCCCUUGUGACAUUGCGCUAAUAGAUGAGCCUAAGUCGGCUUAGCUAGUUGGUUGGGUAAAGGCCUACCAAGGCGACGAUCUGUAGCGGGUCUGAGAGGAUGAUCCGCCACACUGGGACUGCGACACGGCCCAGACUCCUACGGGAGACAGCAGUGGUGAAUAUUGGACAAUGGGGGGAACCCUGAUCCAGCCAUGCCGCGUGUGUGAAGAAGGCCUUAUGGUUGUAAAGCACUUUAAGCGAGGAGGGGGCUCUUUUGGUUAAUACCCAAGAUGAGUGGACGUUACUCGCAGAAUAAGCACCGGCUAACUCUGUGCCAGCCGCCGCCGUAA